ACUGUGAAGUCGUGGCCUCAGCUCGAAUCCAACCCCUCCCACCUGAGAGAGCUGGACCUGAGUGGAAACACGCUGCAGGAUUCAGGAGUGAAGACCAGUCUGCUGGACGGAGAGUCCAAACUGUAAACUGGAGACUCUGAGAUUGAGGGACUGCAGUUUGUCAGAGAUCAGCUGUGCUUCUCUGGCCUCAGCUCUGAAAUCCAACCCUUCUCAUCUGAGAUACCUGGACCUGAGUGACAAUAACCUGCAGGAUUCAGGAGUGAAGCUGCUGUGUGAUUUUCUCGAGAGUCCACACUGCAGACUGAAGAAUCUGGGAUUGAGGGACUGCAGUUUGUCAGAGAUCAGCUGUGCUUCUCUGGCCUCAGCUCUGAAGUCCAACCCCUCCCAUCUGACAGAGCUGGACCUGAGUGAAAACAAGCUGCAGGAUUCAGGAGUGAAGCUGCUGUGUGAUUUUCUGAAGAGUCCACACUGCAGAUUGAAGACUCUGGGGUCAGUUCUCUGUUACUCUUAUAGAGCUGAUAUAUUUAUUUAACAGUUGUCAAACACUGUGAUGUCGUUUACUAAAUCAUAAACUCUGGUUGAGUUUGACAAAACAAAAUAAAUUAAACAUAGGGUUCAAAAACAUACCAAGGGUGUGGUCAGAAAACUGUUACUCUUCAGCCAUCUAACAAUUCCUCAAGACCACCUGUCCAUGAGAGGUGUGUCAUAUACGUCACCACAUAAUAAAAAUGGUAGAACCUGUUUUAACGACUUUCUUAAUGUAUCCCUAUUCAGAAUAGAUUUCAUAUUAAUUUCCUUCAUAAAUGAAAGCAACAUAAUUAAACUUGUUUAACUUUUUUACAGAUUUUCCUGAACUCAAAAAUGACUCCAACAGAACCUAAUUUAUGUUCAUACAUAACUUACAUUCAUAAAGUGGUUGUUGAAGCCAUUUUUUUGUGGUCAAUAAUUUUAGAAUUUAGAUAAUUUAUUUAGCUGAUGAGACAUCUAAGUUAUGGUUUCUUUUAAGUAUCAGAAUACAUAAAUAGACUGGCACCUAUCCCAGCUAGUGUCAGAAUAGUCAUCUUGAAUUUAUUAAUGAAUUUAUUAGCUGUUCUGAUUAACUCAGACUUCUAUCAGCCGUGUAAAGAGCAAGAGGUGUGACUGUGUGACUGAAGAGCUCCUUUUGUCUGAACAGACAGAUUGAUGCAAGCUUAACAGGAUUAACAAUCUUUGACCUCAUGUUUAGUUUGAAAAUGUUUUUUGUUGCUUAUUGAUAAAACAAAACAAAUAAUUGACAGAGGAAAACAGAAACAAGUGACUCAAGCCUUUUUUUUUAAAUAGAGCCCUGUAGCCUGGCACAGCAGUUUAUAUAGGAAAAGGACAAGACAGUUGUGAAGUCUCUUUUGUUCAUAUUUUCAUCUUUCUUGUGUUAAAUUUAGUCUGCAGUCACCAAAGACUUGUGUUUCUUAAAAAAACAGUAGAAAAAGUCUUCUGUUAGUUGUUAAAGUAAAUGAAUGUUUAUGAUUGUUGGUAAAUGGUCACAUCUGUAUACAGAAGAUCCUCUGAACUCAUAUUUGUUUUAAAUUGAUCAAGUUUACUUGCUGAAAUUGAAAAUAUUUCUCUAGUUUCUGUUGAUUUCAAAGUGUUUUUACAAAUGAUGUCUGAUUGUUGAUAUUUAACCUUCAUAACACACAGAAACAUCGGUAGACAGAGAUAGAUCAGUAUCAUAGGAUCAUUACAGACUUGUCUAAGAUCAGCAGCAUGUUAUUAAUCUGCGUUUACAUUAAUGGUUGUAUAAAUGGUGUGCUGACAUUUGGAUGAUUUCUGUAGAUGGCUGACAUUAUGAUAAUGUCACUUUACUCCAUUUUUAUCUACAUCAUUUAAUCUUCAUUCAGAUUGUGGAGCUGCAGUUUGUCAGAGAUCAGCUGUGCUUCUCUGGCCUCAGCUCUGAAGUCCAACCCCUCCCAUCUGACAGAGCUGGACCUGAGUGAAAACAAGCUACAGGAUUCAGGAGUGAAGCUGCUGUGUGAUUUUCUCGAGAGUACACACUGCAGACUGAAGACCCUGGGGUCAGACAUCAUUUUUAACUUCUGUGCUGAGAUUAUUUUUUGUUUAUUAUUAUUAUCAUAUUAUUACUAACAUGAUAUAAAGGUUGUGGUGACACUAAACUGCAGACAUCAGGCUGAUAUUAUACUGAUCCACACUGAGUAUCUGAAUGCUAAAGUCUAUUUUCUUCUUCUGUGGUUUAGUCCAUUGACUGUGACAGAGCAAUGUUGAGCUGCACAUUUAAACCUGAAUAUAACAAGAAAAAUCUACACUGGAUAAUUCACUGUGAACCUUUUAAAGUUUUAACUCGUAUUCCUCAUCAUGUUCUUGUUGAAAUAAAUUAGAAUACAAAAUAAAUAAAUACAAAAAAUUAUGUAUUUCAACUAAAAUACAUUUUAAACCUUCUUCAGAUGAUUAAACAUUGAAUGAUUUCAAACAUUGUCUUCUAAAGUUACAUCAUUUAUUCUUCAUUUAGAUUGUGGAGCUGCAGGUUGUCAGAGAUCAGCUGUGCUUCUCUGGCCUCAGCUCUGAUGUCCAACCCCUCCCAUCUGACAGAGCUGGACCUGAG